UGAAAUCGCAGACAGGGACACAUGGAGAACGCCCCCACCAGUUCCCACGUGCUUCUCUUUCCGCAG
ensembl:miRNA MIR6767 microRNA 6767